GGCGGUGUGGCGAAAUCGGUAUACGCUAUGCUUUAAUGGGCAAAACAGGUAGCUCCUGUAUGUUGGUUCAAAUCCAACCACUGCCA
rnacentral:tRNA from 1 species